GUAAUUUAAUUUCGCAUCGACAGUUUACGGUCGUGGGCUUGGGAGCUAGCCCACUACCCAGGACCAGGAGCACCUCUUUUUCCUCUUGGGAGCGGUUUGGGGAAUUGGAAUUCGCGCAGCGGCCAGCGGGUGCGCAUCCGGCGGCGAGAGGUGGGUGGGCGACCAAGCAAGCAGGGAUAGUCGUUGUCGUCGAUGGGUGAAAUCAGCAGCUUCGUGGUCGGCCGUUCGAAGCGGCAUCAAUGGCGGUAUGGUGUGAUUGGCCUCAACAAAACCAGCUCCCACUGGAGCGGAAGGGAACGAUCGACUGUGGGAUUGCGGCUACUGGUGACUUCGGGGGCAUCAACCUCAGAUUGGGUGCACACUGUCGCAUCCCCUUACAAGCCAAGACUGAAUUUUUUCUUCAUAGAUGUGGCGAUCUGGUCCGCUAGGUAAGAUUAGAUGCUAGGGAGAAAUCAAACAGAACUUGCGUCUCCAGAUUAGACCUACGGCUGCCUCAAAUCCUGCUACAUUUUUCCCGUGCCUUCCCAUAAAGAGAGAGCUACAAAUCCUGUUGUGUGUGUCUAUGAUUCAUUGAUUCGUCGGGUUCAGCUCCAUUUUUUCUGUUCUGGACCCAAUCAAAUGUUCACUAUUAGACUAAGCAAUGCAAGAUUUGUAGGUUUCAUGUCACCGUGUGGCAAUGUCGCCAUGGCGGCAUGGUGGCGGCGUCAGCAGCCUGGUCGGGCCACGCGGCGGGUGGUGGCUGAGGGUGGCAUCGGCACAACAGUUGGGAUCCGUGUUUUGGAUCGAUUCACGGUGAGCGCAGAACACCAGUGGGCUUCGACGUAAAGUACAGUAGCUGGCCAUUCACUUCUCUGUAAGUUUUUGUAUAAAUCACCUAGGAGGAUGCCAAUUACAUGAUACUCUUCAUAAUAUGCAAAGAAAAUCCCUAACUUUACCACUGGCCUCUUUCCGGCCAGUUCAUCUAGUAUGAAGAUGCACUGGUUCAGGUUACAACUACCAACAACUAUUAUGUCCUCCCUAUCUUCAACACUUUGCAAAUGUCAUAUUCCAGAGGUUAAGAUCUAGGAUUGUAGAUUAUACACCUUUGAAAAAAAAUACGAGAAUUGUAGAUUAAACACCUCUGGAAAAAAUACGAGAGCGAAGAGAGGUGGGAUUGGUUUUCUUUUUUGCGCAGGGAUGAGUGAAGCUGGAUCUAGAGAGAACAAAUAGCAAGUCCAGGGGAACUCGAAAGCACAAUAUGCCAUAUUAACAUUUUUUGCCUUCUACAAACGACAAAACGAGUUCGUAAAAAUGAAUCAAAAGUGAACCCAAUAGAAAGUACUUUUACAAUUGUCAUUUUCUUAGGUUGUAUAUCCAAGUAAUACACAUAGAAAUAUCAGGGCAAUAAAAUGCCUUUUCCUAUCAGACUUGUAUGGUCUAGUUUGGCAACAUGGAAUGGAGCUGAGAAAUAAAUGUCCAUUCGAGGACAUUGUAUCUGUGUUAACAAUUUACAAUGCUGUAAAAGCUCCUCUAUUGAAAACCGAACACGGUAGUUGUGGUACUGUCCCAUUUAUACAAGAGACUCUCUGAAUAUUAAUCAUAUUCCUAGAAAUCUGAUUUUGUAAUGCUUCAUACCCCUUUUCUGUCAGACUUGAAUGCUUUUCUAAGUUGUGCUUUAGUACUAGCAAUUUUGAGUUGUGUAAAAAUAUUACACUGCAUCCUUGUUAGUCACAAGCUUGUCUUGGGCAUGCUCCACCUUAACCUGAACAAGCUGCGACACCUGAACUACAGUUGGAGAGUCAUGUAGCUGUUUUCCUUGUAAAUGUUUUCUGAUUACCUGAUGCAAUUGCUUCACUGUCAGUUCAUGUUCUCUGUAUAUUUUUCACUAGCAUAACGUUCCCUAUAUAGGAUGCUUCUGUUUGAGAAAUAACAUAUCAUUCUCAUAAUUUUAUGCUAUUUUUUUAGGUCGUAGGCGCAUCUUAUUUCAUUUGUUUCAGUAACUCUUAUUAUCUUGCUUUUGUUGAUGUGGGAUGAUGUUAGUGCUAGGAAGACCACCACCAACAUUAGUAGGCCAAUGGUUUCGAGUACCUCAAAGAAAUUGUCAAGUUCGAGGAAAUCCCAGACCAAAGUUGCUCCUUGCGCUACUGUUUUCCAUGGAACACAGUCACCGAAGAGCAGCAGGAGGCUCUUACUCUUUUCAGAGCUUUGUAAUCUUGUACUAUGAUCGUUGAAAGUUAAUAUAUAUUGAUGUUCAAAAAAAUAACCGAAGUGCUGCAUGAGAGAUAAACAUUUCAGUUCCAAACUGCUUUCUCCUUUCAAGUUCUACAGAACAAAGAAUUAUGUCAUAUUCUUCUUGAAGUAUUGUUAGCGCCUUUGCUCUGCAUGAAAUUGGCCUAUGUGACAGAAGUUUGAUGGAGUAGGUAUUACUUAUGCCUUGUAUAUAUAUUUUAUUCCGACUGUUUGUUAUUUUAUACUCAUUUGAAACUCUGGCAGGUUUCAUCUUAUAUCCAAUACUUCCCUGUCAUGAGAAAGUGCUCACCUGUUAAGGCUUUGGCUCCGUCUUUCAAGUACAAAGUGUUGACCUUGAUCGUUGAAGAUUCAGCUCCAUUGUAACAUUAACCCGAUAUUUUCAUUCAAUCCACUUAAUGCCAUAUGGUGUUAUCCUUCUAAUCUUGUGAAUUUUCAUCAAUAGUUUGUGUAUUGCAGACAAAGACGAAUCAGCGCACCUCUAGUGCGUCAUCUUACAUGAUUUGAAUGAAACCAGGCCUACCUGAUUCUUUGGAGAAGUUCAGACCCAUGAAAAUCCAUAUCUAAAACACUUGAUUUGAAGCUCCCCUUAGCAGAACUGGUUUGAGCCAGAUGUGACCAUGGAGGUUUUGGCUCAACUAAAUCCCCUUUACUCAGAUACCUCAACACACUAGCAGUGCACAGGAAAUUGACAAGGACAUGUAGACACGGAGAGCUUGUGCAUACUCUCCCUAAAACAAAUUGUACUUCUGUAUGUAGUUGAAUAUCUUUAUUCUGGUGUCAUGUCCAUGUAAUGUACUUGCUUAUGAAUGCUUUCUUCUAUUGGCAUCAUCUACCAGAUCAUAUCCAGAAUUGUUGUACUGCAAGAAUGAUGCAUGUCACCUACGUGACAUUUUGUAAUUGAGUUUUUUUAUGUCCCAUUGUAUACCAUAUUUUA